rnacentral:rRNA from 1 species
UACGGAGGGAGCUAGCGUUGUUCGGAAAUACUGGGCGUAAAGCGCACGUAGGCGGCGCAGCAAGUCAGGGGUGAAAUCCCGGGGCUCAACCCCGGAACUGCCCUUGAAACUGCAGUGCUAGAAUUCUGGAGAGGCGAGUGGAAUUCCGAGUGUAGAGGUGAAAUUCGUAGAUAUUCGGAAGAACACCAGUGGCGAAGGCGGCACUCUGGAUCGGCCCUGACGCUGAGGCGCGAAAGCGUGGGGAGCGAACGGG